rnacentral:rRNA from 1 species
GAUGAACGCUAGCGGCAGGCUUAAUACAUGCAAGUCGAGGGGCAGCGGGGUGUAGCAAUACACUGCCGGCGACCGGCAAACGGGUGCGGAACACGUACACAACCUUCCUUAAAGUGGGGGAUAGCCCAGAGAAAUUUGGAUUAAUACCCCGUAACAUUAUGAGAUGGCAUCAUUUUAUAAUUAAAGCUCCGGCGCUUAAAGAUGGGGUGUGCGGCUGAUUAGGUAGUUGGUGAGGGUAACGGCCCACCAAGCCUUCGAUCAGUAACUGGUGUGAGAGCACGACCAGUCACACGGGCACUGAGACACGGGCCCGACUCCUACGGGAGGCAGCAGUAGGGAAUAUUGGUCAAUGGACGCAAGUCUGAACCAGCCAUGCCGCGUGAGUGAUGAAGGCCUUCGGGUUGUAAAACUCUUUCGACGGGGACGAUAAUGACGGUACCCGUAGAAGAAGCUCCGGCUAACUUCGUG